GUCUACAGCCAUACCACCCUAAAUGUGCCCGAUCUCAUCUGAUCUCAGAAGCUAAGCAGGGUCAGGCCUAGUUAGUACUUGGAUGGGAGAAGAUAAUUUUAGGGCCUAAUUAAA
rnacentral:rRNA from 1 species